CACGCUAUCUCCAAGAAAACAGCCAGGCAACUGAAGCAGACUGCAGGCCCUAAAAUUGAAGGGUUGAUAGACUUAAUUGGAGUGGAAGUCGCUGUUCCACAAAUGCUGCUCACCGGGAACUCCAGAUUGCUGCUGGUGUGUAGGACUGAGAGGAUUCGGCUAUUGUGGGAAACCAGGGUUGGGGAAAGUUUCUUCAUCAGGCUGGGUUGUGCGUCUGGCUUGGAGGUCAUGUCUCACUCAGAAACUACCGAAGUCAUGCUAGGAACAGUGUAGAGACACCGGGAUAAUAAAAUCAUUGGGCUGAA